rnacentral:rRNA from 1 species
GUAAAUAAUAAAGGGCGUAUGGUGGAUGCCUAGGCUCUCAGAGGCGAUGAAGGACGUGAUAAGCUGCGAAAAGCUCCGUUUAGGUGCAAAUAACCUUUGAUGCGGAGAUCUCCGAAUGGGAUAACCCAAUAUGUUGAAGACAUAUUAUACCGUAAGGUAGGCAAACGCAGGGAACUGAAACAUCUAAGUACCUGCAGGAGAAGAAAACAAACGUGAUUCCCCCAGUAGCGGCGAGCGACCGGGGAUAAGCCCAAACCGUUAUUGUUUCGGCAGUAGCGGGGUAGUAGGACUGCGACAUUGAUGAAAUAAAUGAAAUGGAACACCUUGGAAAAUGUGAUCACAGAGGGUGAUAAUCCCGUACAUGUAAGUUUAUGAAUCAUAGCAGACUCCUGAGUAAGUCGGGACACGUGUAAUCCUGACCGAAUCCGCCGGGACCAUCCGGCAAGGCUAAAUACUCCUGAGAGACCGAUAGUGAACCAGUACCGUGAGGGAAAGGUGAAAAGCACUUCGAACAGAAGAGUGAAAUAGUCCCUGAACCCAUACGCCUACAAGCUGUCGGAGCCGCUUCGUGCGGUGACGGCGUGCCUUUUGCAUAAUGAGCCUACGAGUUACUCAUCACCAGCGAGGUUAAGUACUUCAGGUACGUAAGCCGAAGCGAAAGCGAGUCUGAAUAGGGCGUCAAGUUGGUGGUGGUAGACGCGAAACCUUAGUGAUCUACCCAUGGGCAGGGUGAAGGUUUGGUAACACAAACUGGAGGCCCGAACCGGUAAACGUUGAAAAGUUUUCGGAUGACCUGUGGGUAGGGGUGAAAGGCCAAUCAAACUGGGAAAUAGCUCGUACUCUCCGAAAUGCAUUUAGGUGCAGCCUCUGUUGUUUUGUUCUAGAGGUAGAGCUACUGAUUGGAUGCGAGGGCUUCACCGCCUAUCAAAUCCGGCCAAACUCCGAAUGCUAGAACAUGAAGACAGGGAGUGAGCCAGCGGGUGCUAAGGUCCGUUGACGAAAGAGGGAGAACUCAGACCAUCAGCUAAGGUCCCCAAUUAUAUGCUAAGUUGGAAUUAAAACGGGGUGGGACUGCUUAGACAGCUAGGAUGUUGGCUUGGAAGCAGCCAUUCAUUUAAAGAGUGCGUAACAGCUCACUAGUCGAGCGGUCCUGCAUGGAUAAUACGCGGGCAUAAGCAUAUAACCGAAGCUAUGGGAUUGUAGAUGAUACAAUCGGUAGGAGAGCAUUCCAUUCAGCAUAGAAGCAGUACCGUGAGGUAUUGUGGAGCGGAUGGAAAAGCAAAUGUAGGCAUAAGUAACGAUAAUGCGGGUGAGAACCCCGCACGCCGAAAGAUCAAGGAUUCCCCGGCAAUGUCAAUCAUCCGGGGGUAAGUCGGAUCCUAAGGGUAAGCCGAGUGGCGAUCCCGAUGGCAAACAGGUUAAUAUUCCUGUACUGAUCAUAACUGCGAUGCAGCGACGCAGAGGUGACACUGCUGCGUACUGACGGAAUAGUACGUUGAAACCCGUAUUCUUUGAUACCGGUAGUGAAGCACGCCGGUAGAGAUGAAAGGUGAUAGUACCGCAAUGCUUCGGUUGCGCGGAUAACGCAGGUAAGCUGACUGCCAAGAAAACCUGCUAAGCUUCAGGUAAUGAUCAUCCGUACUGUAAACGGACACACGUGAUCAGGUAGAAAAUACUAAGGCGCUCGAGAGAUUCAUGGUUAAGGAACUAGGCAAAAUGGUCCUGUAACUUCGGGAUAAAGGACGCUCUUGUGAAAGAGCCGCAGAUAAUAGGCCCAGGCGACUGUUUACCAAAAACACAUGGCUAUGCUAAUUCGCAAGAAGAUGUAUAUGGCCUGACACCUGCCCGGUGCCGGAAGGUUAAGAGGAGAGCUCAGAGGUAACUCGAAGGUUUGAAUUGAAGCCCCGGUAAACGGCGGCCGUAACUAUAACGGUCCUAAGGUAGCGAAAUUCCUUGUCGGGUAAGUUCCGACCUGCACGAAUGGUGUAACGAUCUGGGUACUGUCUCAACAGUACCCAGAUCGUUACACCAUUCGUGCAGGUCGGAACUUACCCGACAAGGAAUUUCGCUACCUUAGGACCGUUAUAGUUA